rnacentral:rRNA from 1 species
GAUGAACGCUAGCGGCAGGCCUAAUACAUGCAAGUCGAACGAAGCAGCAAUGCUUAGUGGCGCACGGGUGCGUAACGCGUAUGUAACCUACCUUUUACUGGGGGAUAACUUCUCGAAAGAGAAGCUAAUACCGCAUAAUGCAUUAAGGUCACCUGGUCUAAAUGUUAAAGAUUUAUUGGUAAAAGAUGGGCAUGCGUCCAAUUAGCUAGUUGGUAGUGUAACGGACUACCAAGGCUACGAUUGGUAGGGGGUCUGAGAGGAUGGUCCCCCACACUGGUACUGAGAUAAGGACCAGACUCCUACGGGAGGCAGCAGUAGGGAAUAUUGGGCAAUGGACGAAAGUCUGACCCAGCCAUGCCGCGUGCAGGAUGAAGGCCCUCUGGGUUGUAAACUGCUUUUGACAGGGAAGAAAUACACCAUGCGUGGUGAGCUGACGGUACCUGUAGAAUAAGCACCGGCUAACUCCGUGCCAGCAGCCGCCGUAA